rnacentral:rRNA from 1 species
UACGUAGGGGGCAAGCGUUGUCCGGAAUCAUUGGGCGUAAAGAGCGCGUAGGCGGCCCGGUAAGUCCGCUGUGAAAGUCAAGGGCUCAACCCUUGAAUGCCGGUGGAGUACUGUCGGGCUUGAGUACGGAAGAGGCGAGUGGAAUUCCUGGUGUAGCGGUGAAAUGCGCAGAUAUCAGGAGGAACACCAAUUGCGAAGGCAG